rnacentral:misc_RNA from 1 species
GACUAGAAGCGAUACCCAGAUCAUGGAUUCCCCCGCCACUUUUACAGAACACGAAUAAUCUCCUUAAAACCUAUUUCUUGGAGAAUGGCAAGAAAAUGGCAGAAUCAAGUGGGAUUCUUGUCAAUACAUUUGAGAGUAUUGAGCACGAACCACUCAGAAAGCUAAAUGAAGGAAAAGUAAUAGAAGGGUUGCCACCAGUUAUUGCCAUUGGACCACUUGCACCUUGUGAAUUUGAAAAGAUCCAACCAUUACCAUGGCUUGAUGAACAACCGGCGGGGUCUGUGGUGUAUGUCAGCUUUGGUAGUAGGACUGCUAUGUCAAGAGAGCAACUCAAAGAGUUGGGUGAAGGGCUGGCAAUUAGUGGUCAUAGGUUUCUGUGGAUGGUAAAGGAUAAGAAAGUUGAUCGAGAGGAUGAAGAAGACUUAGGUCAGGUAAUUGGAAGUGGGUUAAUGGAGAAGUUGAAGGAAAAAGGGUUGGUGGUGAAGUACUGGCUAAACCAAGAGGCGAUACUAAGCCACCCAGCAGUUGGUGGAUUUUUGAGUCAUUGUGGUUGGAAUUCAAUAACAGAGGCUAUAUGGAAUGGAGUGCGCAUAUUAGCAUGGCCCCAACAUGGAGACCAGAAAAUCAAUGCUGAUAUUGCGGAGAAAAUUGGAUUAGGGACUUGGGAGAAGAGUUGGGGAUGGGGUGAAGAGACGGCAGUGAACGGAACAGAUAUUGCAGAAAAAAUUAAGGAGAUGAUGGGUAAUGAAUUGUUGAGACAUCAAGCAAUGCACAUCAGAGAAGAGGCUAGGACAGCUGUGGAAAUUGGAGGCAGCUCAAGGAUGGGGCCGAUGGAACUCAUCGAGACAUGGAAGAAGACCUGAAUUCGCAACUUCGUGUUUUCCACUUUAUUUUUUUUCAAACAUAGUAUUUUCUGUUUUUUU